rnacentral:rRNA from 1 species
GAACAUCCACGGAACUUUUCCGAGAGAUGGAUGGUGCCUUCGGGAACCGUGAGACAGGUGCUGCAUGGCUGUCGUCAGCUCGUGUCGUGAGACUGUUGGGUUAAGUCCCGUAACGAGCGCUAACCCUUGUCCUUAGUUGCCAGCACUUCGGGUGGGAACUCUAAGGAGACCGCCGGUGGACAAACCGGAGGAAGGUGGGGAUGACGUCAACGUCAUCAUGGCCCUUAUGACCUGGGCUACACACGUGCUACAAUGGCCGGUACAGAGGGUCGCCAAAGCGCAAGCUGGAGCUAAUCCUACAAAGCCGGUCGUAGUCCGGAUUGGAGUCUGCAACUCGACUCCAUGAAGUCGGAAUCGCUAGUAAUCGCGAAAUCAGAAUGUCGCGGUGAAUACGUUCCCGGGCCUU